CCUACGGGAGGCAGCAGUAGGGAAUAUUGCUCAAUGGGGGAAACCCUGAAGCAGCCACGCCGCGUGGAGGAUGAAGGUUUUAGGGUUGUAAACUCCUUUUGUUAGAGAAGAUUAUGACGGUAUCUGACGAAUAAGCACCGGCUAACUCCGUGCCAGCAGCCGCGGUAAUACGGAGGGUGCAAGCGUUACUCGGAUUCACUGGGCGUAAAGCGUGCGUAGGCGGGGUAAUAAGUCAGAUGUGAAAUCCUUUAGCUUAACUACAGAAUUGCAUUUGAAACUGUUAGUCUGGAGUGGGGGAGAGGUAGGGGGAAUUCGUGGUGUAGGGGUAAAAUGCGUAGAGAUCAAGAGGAACACUCAUUGCGAAGGCGACCUGCUGGAACAUUACUGACGCUGAUGCACGAAAGCGUGGGGAGCAAACAGGAUUAGAUACCCCAGUAGUC
rnacentral:rRNA from 1 species